AAUAUAAUUGAUAUUGUCAAAAAUGGGCUGUUUUGGCCUUUUUCAAUUCCAAUUAUACCGUUCUAUUUAAUUUCUAACCAACACCGUUACCCUCACCUCUCUAUCUCACUCUCAGAUCCCAUGAUCACGAUCUGCCAUCAUUGACGAUCAUCGUCUGUAACACAUUCGACGAUUGCUGGAUAAUUUCCACAUCAACUCCGUCAUCUUCAGACGCCAUAAAGCCUCCUAGCAAAACAUCCACCUCGAUAAGUCCGCCAUACUCUUCAAUUUCGGCUCCAUCUACAGUCAGAUUGGGUUGUUGUACGAUCGCGCCACCAUCGACGGCCGCCUUCAGACGUCUCACGCGUUCAUCGCCUAGACGAGAAGGAGUUGAUGCAGUUUUGCUCAAAUCUUUUCGAUUUGAAGAAGGCUAGUUACAUGCAUAUUGAAUUGAAUUGAAUUGUUACAUUGCUAUUAUUGAAAUGAAUGAUGCCAUUUGAGUGCAUACCAUGUCACUGAUUGCCAAGCGGAAGGAAGAAUCUAAGGAAUGGGUUACUCAUCUUUGUCCGAGUAUGGAAAAGAAGCUGCAGGAUAAUUUGAGUUUGGGAAGACAUUGGAGAGUGAGUAGAUCUGACACUUCAGUUUAUGAAGUUCACUGCCAGACGUACAAUACUAUGGUUAAUUUGCGUGCUUUCUUCUGUUCAUGUGGACAAUGGCAGCGCCAUGAUAUGGUUUUCCUUCUGCAUAUGCUCUUUAGUCAUCCAACAACAUGGUCACUCCAUAUUCAUACGUUAAUCCUUUGUACAAGGUACUCUCUUAUUUCUCUUGACGUCAUGCAGCAACAUGGUUUUUCUUUCUCUUGUUUGUGCGACCUGGAUGUAUGUUAUAUAUGAGAGACUUUAUUAAAAUUGUGAGAGUAUUGUGAUUUGAACAAUUGUGACAAAAUGUAUCGUUACAGUGGUUAUAUGAAUAACGACAUUUGAGUUAUC